UCGCACCUACCGAUUGGAUGGUCCGGUGAGAAUUUCGGAUUGUGGUAUCGCCGCUUUAAUUAGAGGUGAUACUGUGAGAAGUUAUUCAAACCUUACCAUCUAGAGGAAGGUG
rnacentral:rRNA from 1 species